UCCACCGGUGGCCUAAUGGUUAGGACGUUGGACUCUGGAUUGAGUGGUCUAGGUUCGAGCCCUGACCAGGGAC